rnacentral:rRNA from 1 species
GACGAACGCUGGCGGCGUGCUUAACACAUGCAAGUCGAACGGAAAGGCCCUGCUUUUGUGGGGUGCUCGAGUGGCGAACGGGUGAGUAACACGUGAGUAACCUGCCCUUGACUUUGGGAUAACUUCAGGAAACUGGGGCUAAUACCGGAUAGGAGCUCCUGCUGCAUGGUGGGGGUUGGAAAGUUUCGGCGGUUGGGGAUAGACUCGCGGCUUAUCAGCUUGUUGGUGGGGUAGUGGCUUACCAAGGCUUUGACGGGUAGCCGGCCUGAGAGGGUGACCGGCCACAUUGGGACUGAGAUACGGCCCAGACUCCUACGGGAGGCAGCAGUGGGGAAUAUUGCACAAUGGGCGGAAGCCUGAUGCAGCAACGCCGCGUGCGGGAUGACGGCCUUCGGGUUGUAAACCGCUUUCGCCUGUGACGAAGCGUGAGUGACGGUAAUGGGUAAAGAAGCGCCGGCUAACUACGUG